UCCCAACUACAGGCGUAGGCUCUGGGUGCUAUUGCAAAAAUUUACCAAUGCGUGGCCGAGUGCCUGGGCCGUGGGGGCGGUGCCGUGGCUGCGUUGGAGCGGGAAGCGCGGCUACCUAAACCCGACCGCCCUUGUGGGUGUGGUCAGGCCCUGGGUGUCCCACCAAGGUACGGAAAGAUGUGAAGUCCUUUCCUGGAGUUCUCCGUCAGAAAGAACCUGGACUUGGAAUUCAGGCUGCACCAUGCUUUAGGGGCCCCUGUCUCGGUCAGGACACUCGUCUCUUUGAUUAAAUUGUGGCGUGACCUCGAUGUACAAUUUUAAAAAUUGCUCUUCAUAAUUGCUAUUUGUUUUUGUUGUUUUGUCCCUGCCUUACAAGGAAAGUGACGGAGAUGGCCGUUCCAUUGUUUUCUUUUUUCUUUCUUCUGCUUUUUUCAGCCCUAUUCUUUUUAUAACGCCAACUCUCCUGUGGACGGUGUCGCACACUUGGUCUUCCACCACUCUGGAACAGACUGACAGGAUGAUUGGAAGUUUAAGCCCAACCUGGACAAUUUAGUGACAUUGGGAGAUCCUGUCUCAACGAAAAUUAAAAAGGGUUGAGAAUGUAAGUCAGUUAGAUAAUAGGCUCAAUCCCCAGUAUGGGGAGUGGAAGAAGGGGACCUCUUCUGCUUGGCUCAUUGGAACAUUUAGUCUGUUUAGUGGAGUGGACUAUUGACUGAUUCUAGAAUCACAAAAAAAAUGAGAUCUUUAAGUUUAUUGUGAUUUUAUCACAAUACAAGGCAUCUCCACUUUCUACAAAAUAAGUGUUCUUUUUCUUCACUCCUCAUGGAAAUCAUUUGAAAGUUCACAAAAAGUUCUUCGCUUCUUUGAAUUUUCCAGCAAUGCAGAUCUCAUGAAUCAGAUCUUCCUGUCACAUGACAUCCUAUUUAUAAAGAGAGCUAACAAUCAAAGAGUUAUCUGUCAAAGUAAUUAACUUACUGAUUUUGUCAAAACCACGCUUGUUGAUCAGUUCGUUUACAGAUGAUAGUUUGGGUACCUACAUGUGAGCUUUGGAAACAAUUCUUGUAAUGUUAACCGAAGCCUUGUUGAAUUUAAAAAAAGGUAUUAUUGACCAAAGGUACUGUGAAUAUGAAAAACCUGCAACACUCCAGAUAUUUGGACUUACAUCAUUGACACCUUGCGUCCUGAUGACAAAUGCCAAUUUGGGUUCUGUGGGUACACGGUUUUGUUAUGUAGACGAAGAUGGCCUUAACUUGUUAUGUGUCCUGGGCUGGCAUGCAAUGCACUCCUUCUUCAGCCUCCUUGGAUGCUGGGAUUACAGUCAUGCAACACUAAGCCUGGUAAAAGAGCAAAGGGGAAGGCACCACAGUCAUGAAUUUGAAGUUAUAUUACAAAGCUCCUGUGAUUAAAACAGCAUGGUACUGACACAGAAAAACCAGACAUGUGAAUCAGUGGAAUUAGAAUAGAGGAUACAGAAACA